rnacentral:misc_RNA from 1 species
UCGUAACAAGGUCUCCGUUGGUGAACCAGCGGAGGGAUCAUUACCGAGUUUACAACUCCCAAACCCAAUGUGAACGUUACCAAACUGUUGCCUCGGCGGGAUCUCUGCCCCGGGUGCGUCGCAGCCCCGGACCAAGGCGCCCGCCGGAGGACCAACCAAAACUCUUAUUGUAUACCCCCUCGCGGGUUUUUUUUAUAAUCUGAGCCUUCUCGGCGCCUCUCGUAGGCGUUUCGAAAAUGAAUCAAAACUUUCAACAACGGAUCUCUUGGUUCUGGCAUCGAUGAAGAACGCAGCGAAAUGCGAUAAGUAAUGUGAAUUGCAGAAUUCAGUGAAUCAUCGAAUCUUUGAACGCACAUUGCGCCCGCCAGUAUUCUGGCGGGCAUGCCUGUCCGAGCGUCAUUUCAACCCUCGAACCCCUCCGGGGGGUCGGCGUUGGGGAUCGGCCCUGCCUUGGCGGUGGCCGUCUCCGAAAUACAGUGGCGGUCUCGCCGCAGCCUCUCCUGCGCAGUAGUUUGCACACUCGCAUCGGGAGCGCGGCGCGUCCACAGCCGUUAAACACCCAACUUCUGAAAUGUUGACCUCGGAUCAGGUAGGAAUACCCGCUGAACUUAAGCAUAUCAAUAA